rnacentral:rRNA from 1 species
AUUGAACGCUGGCGGCAUGCCUUACACAUGCAAGUCGAACGGCAGCAUGAUCUAGCUUGCUAGAUUGAUGGCGAGUGGCGAACGGGUGAGUAAUACAUCGGAACGUGCCCUGUAGUGGGGGAUAACUAGUCGAAAGAUUAACUAAUACCGCAUACGACCUGAGGGGGAAAGUGGGGGACCGCAAGGCCUCAUGCUAUAUGAGCGGCCGAUGUCUGAUUAGCUAGUUGGUGAGGUAAAGGCUCACCAAGGCGACGAUCAGUAGCUGGUCUGAGAGGACGAUCAGCCACACUGGGACUGAGACACGGCCCAGACUCCUACGGGAGGCAGCAGUGGGGAAUUUUGGACAAUGGGCGAAAGCCUGAUCCAGCAAUGCCGCGUGUGUGAAGAAGGCCUUCGGGUUGUAAAGCACUUUUGUCCGGAAAGAAAUGGCUCUGGUUAAUACCUGGGGUCGAUGACGGUACCGGAAGAAUAAGGACCGGCUAACUACGUG